UCAUGAAUUGCUUCCCGUGGCACUGCCCUUGCUGAUUCAGAGUUUGCUGAGAGUUAUGGUGAAAGUGCUACAGUAGCCGUAGUUCACAGGACUCUGCGGUUAGUCCUUCAACAUCAGAAAAAUAUAGUACAACUCUUUCAAGAUUGAAGCAAAAACUGAGUGGUUUUUGGUUGCAUGUGGUUCAGCGAUGGCCUGUGGUGAUCCUUUUGCUCGAUAGGCUCAUUGAAGUGAUAAAAUUUUCAAAAGUAACUUCUCUACAUGCAUUCCAUUUUCCCCCAUUUUUUGCAGGCCUUUAUUAUCAUAUAUCUAAGCGUGCUGCAGGUAUUCGUUAUCUCUUCAUUGGAAAACCAUCACAUCAAGGACCCAGGUAUUAGCAUUUUAAAAUUUCACUUUUUGUAAAAAUGUGUUGGCAAUGGUCCAUCUUAAUUGUUGUGCUUGUUUCAAGGCUUCUUGUUGUUAAACUCUUCAUUCGUUAUGAUUCCUUUGAGAUUCAAGUUGGAACUUCACCCUUGGGCUCUAAGAUUACCCUCACUUCUCCUAAGAGAGCUAGCUUUUAAACCUUCUAAUAAU